GACGAACGCUGGCGGCGUGCUUAACACAUGCAAGUCGAACGGAGAGGCCUGCUUUCCCUUGUGGAUUGCGGGUACUCGAGUGGCGAACGGGUGAGUAACACGUGAGUGAUCUGCCCCCAACUUGGGUAUAAGCCUGGGAAACUGGGUCUAAUUCCCGAUAGGACUGCAGGGUGGUGCCUGUGGUGGAAAACGAUUUUCUAGUGGUUGGGGAUGAGCUCGCGGCCUAUCAGCUUGUUGGUGGGGUAAUGGCCUACCAAGGCGGCGACGGGUAGCCGGCCUGAGAGGGUGGACGGCCACAUUGGGACUGAGAUACGGCCCAGACUCCUACGGGAGGCAGCAGUGGGGAAUAUUGCACAAAGGGCGGGAGCCUGAUGCAGCGACGCCGCGUGGGGGAUGACGGCCUUCGGGUUGUAAACUCCUUUCGACCGCGAGGAAGCCACCUGGUUAGAAGGGUGGUGACGGUAGUGGUAGAAGAAGCACCGGCUAACUACGUG
rnacentral:rRNA from 1 species